rnacentral:rRNA from 1 species
GAUUAUGGCUCAGGAUGAACGCUAGCGACAGGCUUAACACAUGCAAGUCGAGGGGCAGCACGGGAGUAGCAAUACUUGGUGGCGACCGGCGCACGGGUGAGUAACGCGUAUGCAACCUACCUAUCAGAGGGGAAUAACCCGGCGAAAGUCGGACUAAUACCGCAUAAAGCAGGGGCACCGCAUGGUGAUAUUUGUUAAAGAAAUUCGCUGAUAGAUGGGCAUGCGUUCCAUUAGGUAGUUGGUGAGGUAACGGCUCACCAAGCCGACGAUGGAUAGGGGAACUGAGAGGUUGGUCCCCCGCACUGGUACUGAGACACGGACCAGACUCCUACGGGAGGCGGCAGUGAGGAAUAUUGGUCAAUGGGCGGGAGCCUGAACCAGCCAAGUCGCGUGAAAGGAAGAAGGAUCUAUGGUUCGUAAACUUCUUUUGCAGGGGAAUAAAGUGCAGGACGUGUCCUGUUUUGUAUGUACCCUGAGAAUAAGGAUCGGCUAACUCCGUGCCAGCCGCAGC